rnacentral:rRNA from 1 species
GUACACUCCUACGGGAGGCAGCAGUGGGGAAUAUUGCACAAUGGGCGCAAGCCUGAUGCAGCCAUGCCGCGUGUAUGAAGAAGGCCUUCGGGUUGUAAAGUACUUUCAGCGGGGAGGAAGGCAAUACGGUUAAUAACCGUGUUGAUUGACGUUACCCGCAGAAGAAGCACCGGCUAACUCCGUGCCAGCAGCCGCGGUAAUACGGAGGGUGCAAGCGUUAAUCGGAAUUACUGGGCGUAAAGCGCACGCAGGCGGUCUGUCAAGUCGGAUGUGAAAUCCCCGGGCUCAACCUGGGAACUGCAUUCGAAACUGGCAGGCUUGAGUCUUGUAGAGGGGGGUAGAAUUCCAGGUGUAGCGGUGAAAUGCGUAGAGAUCUGGAGGAAUACCGGUGGCGAAGGCGGCCCCCUGGACAAAGACUGACGCUCAGGUGCGAAAGCGUGGGGAGCAAACAGGAUUAGAAACCCUGGUAGUCCCAU